rnacentral:rRNA from 1 species
ACCUGACCCAGCUGCGGGGGAUAGCCGGACCAACAGUCGGGCUGUACCGCAUACGACGCCCGGGUAGUACCGGGACGUGAAAGCUUUGGCGCGGUUGGAGGGGCUCGCGGCCUAUCAGCUAGUUGGUGCGGUAACGGCGCACCAAGGCGAUGACGGGUAGCUGGUCUGAGAGGAUGGCCAGCCACAUUGGGACUGAGAAACGGCCCAGACUCCUACGGGAGGCAGCAGUGGGGAAUCUUGCGCAAUGGCCGAAAGGCUGACGCAGCGACGCCGCGUGGGGGAUGAAGGCCUUCGGGUUGUAAACCCCUGUUGCCCGGGACGAACACACCGUUUCGACGGUGCUGACGGUACCGGGUGAGGAAACACCGGCUAACUCUGUGCCAGCAUCCUCGGUAAUACAGAGGGUGCUAGCGUUAUCCGGAAU